rnacentral:RNase_P_RNA from 1 species
GGAUGCAUAUUUAGCUUCGGAAACGAGGAAAGUCCGCCCACCCUAGAAAGUGCCAGUGCUGUUAAAGCAUGCGGAGAAAUCUGCGGCAACCGCACAGAAACGAUACCGGCUUGUUUAAGUGUGAUGGUGUAAAACACCUGACGUUUACAAGAAUACGGAUGAAACGGCGAGUCCUGGUUGGUGCAAGUCCAGUGAGAUACGUUUUGCAAAAAACGUACCAUCCCGCGACGCUUAGUUAAAUGCUAAAAAGGAGCAUCGUUGCACAAUGCAACAUUUAAGGUUCCUACAAAAGGUGGCUUAUUUGCAUCC